rnacentral:tRNA from 1 species
AAGAAUGAAGUAAUGUUUUACAUCUCAGUUACAUUGAGAAGAUCCAUAAAGUUUGGCUUUCUUA